AACCUGGUUGAUCCUGCCAGUAGUCCUUUUAUUGUCUCAAAGAUUAAGCCAUGCAUGUCUAAGUAUCCUUUACUACACAGUAAAACUGCGAAUGGCUCAUUAGAACAGUUAUAGUUUAUUUGAUACAUUAAAUGGAUAACUGUAGGAAACUAGAGCUAAUACAUGCCUAGGCCGUAAGGCUGCAUUUAUUAGAUAUACCAAGCCGGUGAAUCAUAAUAACUUAGCAAAUCGAUACUACGUAUCGAUAAAUCAUUCAAGUUUCUGACCAAUCAGCUCUCGAUGGUAGUGUAUUGGACUACCAUGGCAGUCACGGGUAACGGAGAAUUAGGGUUCGAUUUCGGAGAGGGAGCCUGAGAAACGGCUACUACAUCUAAGGAUGGCAGCAGGCGCGUAAAUUACCCAAUCCUAAAUCAGGGAGGUAGUGACAAGAUAUAACAACGCGAGUAAAAGUCGCGAUUGUAGUGAGGGUAUUCUAAAAAUAGCUUCGAGUACGAUUGGAGGGCAAGUCUGGUGCCAGCAGCCGCGGUAAUUCCAGCUCCAAUAGCGUAUAUUAAAGUUGUUGCAGUUAAAAAGCUCGUAGUUGGAUUUCAAGAAAAGCAAGGGGCAACCCAUCUGCUUUCUACCAGUCAUUGACUGUUACUGUGAGAAAAUUAGAGUGUUUCAAGCAGGCAUUUGCAGGAAUACAUUAGCAUGGAAUAACGAAUGUAUCUACAAUUUGGUUGAUUGUAGAUUUCGAUUAAUAGGGACAGUUGGGGGCAUUUAGUAUUUUAAUUGUCAGAGGUGAAAUUCUUGGAUUUAUUAAAGACUAACGAAU
rnacentral:rRNA from 1 species